CAGUGAAUCUAGAUCUUUCUUUGACUGCCACUUCUCUGAGUCUCUCUACAGUCUACACUCACUCGCUAUGUACUGGUUCUCCGUCAUCUCUCAAACCUAGCUCAGUCUCGUUGUUCUCUCCGUCAUCUCUCAAACCUACCAUGUAGAUGCUAUUAGUGUAUAAUCGAUUUCUUUAGUGAUUUUCUGCGAUCUUUGUUCUUAAAUCGCUUUGUUCUUUGUUCAUCUUACCUACGCGACGGUGUUAUCGGUGUUAAUAAGGACUCUGCGAUUUUCAUUUCGGUGAUUUGGUUCACAAAGAUGACUGUGAUUUCAAGAUCGGUGUUCUCGGUCUAUCCGUGUUACCAAGAUCACUACGAUUCCCAGAUCGAUGUUCUCAGUCAAGGGAUAUUCAACUGAGAUCUGUACCUGGUUUUUCGAAAUGGAAAUCGCAGGCAUUUUUUUUUUUUUUUUUUACUGUUUCUAAGGUUUCAAUUGACGAUCGAUGCUAAUGUUAGAUCUCGGUUUUCUAUGUUACUGCCUAUCAUUAUUUUUUUCUAACAGUGUUUUUGCAGACAGCGAUUUUGCAGCUAAUGUACUCCGAAGAACUGGUUGAGAUAUGGUGAAAACUCAUUUUGUUAUCAUACAUGAAUCAGUGUGAGAGUUUCUUUGACAUUAUUUCCAAUUUAGAGUUUUUCAGCAUACACUGAAAUAAUUAGAGUUUAGUAACCAUAAUUGAAAGGAUUGAAAUUAGGUAUGCAUUUGGAUUUACCUCUAUUUGCAGAAAUGUGUUUUUUCUUGCAGCAAAUUGCAACCAGGUUUCUUUGUUCAAUGUAGCAUCCUCCCCUCCCUGUCCAAAUCAUUUAUAAAAUUCAACCUUACAUUUUUACAUACACUUUGCAGGUAUGAAUUUUUAAUGCUAAAUUUUUCGGAUUCAUUCAAUGCCACACCCAUAUACAUAGAAGACACACACACACACACACACACAAAAAAAAAAAAAAAAAAAAAAAAAAAAAAAAACAGAUUAUAUCAUAAAACAACAAUACAGAAAUGGUAAACUGAAUUUACCUCAUCGUGAAAUAAACAUUCUUUACUUUUCAUUUUUUCGCCUGCCCUAACUUUUGUUUCUUCAUAUGUUCUAACUAAUCUAACCCUUAUUGCUCUUUUGGUGUGUAGUUGAAUGAUAUCCUUGGCUUAUUGAGAAGACAUUUUUGGUGCGGAGUGUUAUUCAUUGUCGAUUCAGAGACUCUAGAAAUCAUUUGACCUCUUUAUAUAGAGGUUGAAUUGCAUCAGGAGCCUUAUAGAAAAACGAAAAGGCAAGCUUUGGAACAAUGAAGCAUCAGAUUACGUUAUUUAAUUAGAUGUCAAUCACUUUAAUUAGAUGUCAAUCACUUCAAAUUUGUAAUUAAAAAAUUGCAAACGAUUCGUUUUCCCAUAUUUAUUCGAAUAUUGUGCUUUUUAUUAA